rnacentral:rRNA from 1 species
UACAGAGGUCCCAAGCGUUGUUCGGAUUCACUGGGCGUAAAGGGUGCGUAGGUGGCAGGGUAAGUUUGAUGUGAAAUCUCCGAGCUCAACUCGGAAACUGCAUUGAAUACUAUCCUGCUUGAGGAUUGGAGGGGAGACUGGAAUUCUUGGUGUAGCAGUGAAAUGCGUAGAUAUCAAGAGGAACACCAGUGGCGAAGGCGAGUCCCUGGACAACACCUGACACUGAGGCACGAAAGCUAGGGGAGCAAACAGG